rnacentral:rRNA from 1 species
AACGAACGCUGGCGGCAUGCCUAACACAUGCAAGUCGAACGCUUUUGGGGCUUCGGCCCCAAGGGAGUGGCGCACGGGUGAGUAGCGCGUGGGAACCUGCCCUGUUGUGGGGGAUAACCGAGGGAAACUUCGGCUAAUACCGCAUAAGCCGGUUGUCUUGAGAGAGAUGGCCGGGAAAGAUUUAUCGCGACAGGAGGGGCCCGCGUCGGAUUAGGUAGUUGGCGGGGUAACGGCCCACCAAGCCGAUGAUCCGUAGCUGGUCUGAGAGGA